rnacentral:rRNA from 1 species
UACGAGGGGUGCAAGCGUUGCUCGGAAUUAUUGGGCGUAAAGGGUAGGUAGGUGGUCUCAUUUGUCUGGGGUGAAAGCCUUGAGCUUAACUCAAGAAGUGCCCCAGAAACGGUGAGACUCGAGUCCUGGAGAGGGUCGUGGAAUUCCCGGUGUAGCGGUGAAAUGCGUAGAGAUCGGGAGGAACACCGGUGGCGAAGGCGGGUCUCUGGGCCGAUACUGACGCUGAGGAGCGAAAGCGUGGGGAGCGAACAGG